CAGGCACCUGGGAACCUACUUUCCAUCUGAAGUUUGUGCUGGUGAAACAGAGUAUACUCUGCAAAUACAACUUCUGCCCUGCCCCUGGGGUGAAGCAAAAUACAAGACAAGUCAACGUUUUAUGAAACUACUGCAGGGUGAGCCUGGCUCCUGGCUCCCAUUCCCAGACCUUCUUGCCACGGUUCUGCAUUGUGAUGACACAUGGGACUCCUUGAGCUGGCUGGAUGCCACACCCUGACAUGAACACUGUGCUGGAAACAGAGGUCUGAGAGAUGAUCGAAGAGCUGCUGGUUGUCAAAGGUGAACCUUGGACUGAUCCCAGAGUCCCCAGAGGAGAUAACCUGUACCUGGAGAUAACCUGUACCUGGUGGAGUGUCCUACCCCUGGAGGAGGGAUAGACCCUUCCCACCUGCUGCCACUUGCCACAGCAAAGGCAGAAAUUCCUGCGAGAGGGCCAGCUCGUCAGCCGUUCCCUUUUUCAUUUGUUCAUUUGUUCCCGGUGUGCUGAGUCCUACUGUGUGCAAGGAGCCAGGCCACCUCCGUGACAGCCAGACCUGGUGAUCUCCCCGAGAUCCUGCUGUCAGCAGAGUGUGGCACACUAUUGAUGGCUUCCAGGCAGCCCGUCAUCAUUCAAGCAUCAAUAAGGUGAAGGCCAGCGGACAAACAGCACACACGUACUAUUAUUAGUCUUCAUGACAACAGACACGUAACUCCAUGAUUAGAUCUUGCAGGCCUCCUGUUGCAAGGAACACUGAGACAUGGUCUUCAGGAAUCCAUCAGGUUCUGCUGGAGAGGAAGAGGCAGGGUAGGGACAUGGAAUGACAGCCAGCAACGCGUGAACGAUUGUGUCCUCUGCCACUUCCCGAGGACCUAAUUAUGUUUGAAAGGAUUUUGGGGGGGGUGGGAAAUAACUUAUUGGGGAGUGAGGGCCUCUGAGGCAUUGCACACACUCAGAUAAAUGGUGAGUAUUUAGGUCAUCUGGAUAGAGCCCUUGUAAACCUCUUAGAUCAUUGGAGAAUUAUUUUCUGUUUCCUUCUACAAGGUUCAUUUCUAAGUUCCUGUACAAAUGUAGACACACUGUUAUUGCUCCAUUGCCUAUUUUGUGUCUAAGGAAUUCUUCUCUCAAUGGUGGAAAACGAAGUGAUAUUUGGUUUAAUGACUAAUCUGUACUCAAAGUGUGCUGCCUUUUUGAAAGACUGAACCAGACUAAUGGGUCUGCUUUAAUGGAGACAGAAACAGGGAGAGCAUAGCUACAGGUUAUUCUUCCUCAGUCCUGAAGCCUUGCCUUCUACCAAGAAUUUAGUCGAUAGAGAGUCUGGAGGAAAAGUGUCAAUGGUUUCCUUUGGAGAAAUUGAAGUGGGGGUAUUUUUUGAUUCCGGACCAACCUCAUUUGGUAAGAAAGAAACAAAACAGAAAUGACUCACCAACAAGAAUCUACGUAAAAUUGAUAUGUAGGAGUUUCUGAAUAAAAAGAAGUCAUAAAUAAGCAAUAAAUCCUCCAUAGGGCCAUUGGAAAUGGGUAGCAGAAAUACUGUGUUUACUGCCUUACUUCCCAAGCCAAACUAUGUAUUAAAAUUCGGCACAAUUCAUUAUACGACUCUGGUAUUUAUAAAAUGCUCAUCAUAGUAUAAAG